rnacentral:rRNA from 1 species
GAUGAACGCUGGCGGCGUGCCUAAUACAUGCAAGUCGAGCGAACGGACGAGCAGCUUGCUUCUCUGAUGUUAGCGGCGGACGGGUGAGUAACACGUGGAUAACCUACCUAUAAGACUGGGAUAACUUCGGGAAACCGGAGCUAAUACCGGAUGAUAUUUUGAACCGCAUGGUUCAAAAGUGAAAGACGGUCUUGCUGUCACUUAUAGAUGGAUCCGCGCUGCAUUAGCUAGUUGGUAAGGUAACGGCUUACCAAGGCAACGAUGCAUAGCCGACCUGAGAGGGUGAUCGGCCACACUGGAACUGAGACACGGUCCAGACUCCUACGGGAGGCAGCAGUAGGGAAUCUUCCGCAAUGGGCGAAAGCCUGACGGAGCAACGCCGCGUGAGUGAUGAAGGUCUUCGGAUCGUAAAACUCUGUUAUUAGGGAAGAACAUAUGUGUAAGUAACUGUGCACAUCUUGACGGUACCUAAUCAGAAAGCCACGGCUAACUACGUG